AGAGUUUGAUCAUGGCUCAGAACGAACGCUGGCGGCGCGCUUAACACAUGCAAGUCGAACGGGAUCGGGGGGCUUGCUCUUCGAUCUAGUGGCGCACGGGUGAGUAACGCGUGGAUAAUCUGCCCUGGUAUCCGGGAUAACAUCUCGAAAAGGGGUGCUAAUACCGGAUAAGCCCACGGGGUCCUCGGAUUCUGCGGGAAAAGGUGGCCUCUGACUCAAGCUACCGUAUCAGGAUGGGUCCGCGUCCCAUUAGCUUGUUGGCGGGGUAAUAGCCCACCAAGGCGACGAUGGGUAGCUGGUCUGAGAGGACAAUCAGCCACACUGGAACUGAGACACGGUCCAGACUCCUACGGGAGGCAGCAGUGGGGAAUUUUGCGCAAUGGGCGAAAGCCUGACGCAGCGACGCCGCGUGAGUGAUGAAGGCCUUCGGGUCGUAAAGCUCUGUCGGAGGGGAAGAAAUGGAAGGGUGCUAAUACCAUCUUUCCUUGACGGUACCCUCAAAGGAAGCACCGGCUAACUCCGUGCCAGCAGCCGCGGUAAUACGGAGGGUGCGAGCGUUGUUCGGAUUUAUUGGGCGUAAAGGGCGUGCAGGCGGUUUCCUAAGUCUGAUGUGAAAGCCCCGGGCUUACCCCGGGAAGUGCAUUGGAAACUGGGAGACUUGAGUACGGGAGAGGAGAGUGGAAUUCCUGGUGUAGGGGUGAAAUCCGCAGAUAUCAGGAAGAACACCGGCGGCGAAGGCGGCUCUCUGGACCGAUACUGACGCUGAGACGCGAAAGCGUGGGGAUCAAACAGGAUUAGAUACCCUAGUAGUCC
rnacentral:rRNA from 1 species